UGGGAAGUUCUCUAAAUACUCCAUUCUCAGACUAUCAAAGCUCUGAGAGUAUUUUCUUGUCUCACAGGGAUAAAAUCCAUUAACUACAGCAAAGUGCUUAGCUAUUAUAUUCAAGGGGAUUGUACACAAUGGGCAUAAAGACCAGGGCUUUGGAAAAUACCUGAAGAAAUUGAGGUGUUUAAAUAUGUAGAACAAUUUACUUGGAAGCUAGGCACUUCUGAAAGUUCUUUUGAAAAUCCUCAUAUCUGCCUUUAUGCUUGAGAGAACACAAACAAGGUAAGAAUCAUGCAGGUGACCUUGGCAUUUACUUUCUGAGGAUAAGCUUUCCAGGAGCCUGGUAGAUGAUGUACGAGUAGGAAUCUGCCUUUCUUCAAACUGUCAUAUUCUUCAAUUAAUUUUAAAGUCUCUUGCAUAUGUUUAUGCAUGACAGUCACAAUUUUGGAUAUGACACUUCUGGAAAAUAAGAUUCAAGGCUUAAGGUUCACUUGCAGCAAAAGUCCUGUGCUUUGCAAGACUAACCACCCCAACCAAACUGAUGCUGAAACACUGGUCUGCUCCUUACAAAUUUAAGUCAUUCUCAAGCUGAAGAGCAUGAACCAUAUAUGCUUUAUUUGAUUUAUAACACAAACACUACAUUGACUUAUUUGAGGAAUCAAAAUAUAAAACUCUGCAAAAACAUACACUUUGAUUUAUGUGUGGAAGAGGCAAUGAGAAUCUCAGUCUUUGGAGAAUGGCCACAGAGAAUGACAAAUAAUACUGACCAUAAUGAUUGCAGGCCUGGAUUUAUUACUUUUGCUUAUUAUAAUGUACCAUGUAAUUUACUUGUACAGUAUAACUGUUUGGUUGAAAUAAGUAUAUUGUAUUCAGUGCAUGGCAGUCAUAUUAUAAUGGAAUAUUUUGGAUUCUCAAUGAUCCAGUUAUUCAUACAUCCAAUUCUGUGACAUUAGAGUAGAUUUAAUGGUUAGAGGAAAUGCUCUUUUCUAUUUCUACUGUAAGUUGUAUGCAUAAAUUUAUGAGUUCAUUUUCUAGCAAUAUUCUGAUCUCAAAACUCCUUAUACUAUUUUUAUUGCUUUUAAAAUAUUUUCUCUAUAUCUGAUCACCAACAUAUUUUACACAUUUGAAGAAGUGUUGUUUCAGCACAACAGACAACUCAAGAUCCACAUGUAUACCAAACCCUUAUUCUGCUGUUGUAUUUUAAGUGUUGGGACUUAGAGAUGUUGAGCAAUGAGAAAACAGUCUCUUCACCUUCAAAAAGUACAACUCAACUCAUAUCCCAGUCCUUGAUAGGUGUGCUGUACCUCUGCAUUAGCUGAUAUAGAGGCAAAUUUAUCAUGUAAAGAAUUCCAACCUCUUAAUUUAAUUUAGAUAUGUAUUGGUGAAAUGAAGAACCUAAUUCUAUCUGAAUUUGAACAAGAAGAUGCCAGUGAAUUAAAUUACAUUAUGCUGCUUGCUAUAAACUGGAAAAUCUUAUCUAAUCUUAUAUAAAUGUCUUUUUUUCCCCAGGAAUCCUUCUUCAAACUGCAGAAGGGGUACUUCAUUUCCAUCUUCACUUUUUACUCUUCAUAUAAAACCUUAAUUUUGGGGGCUGUUCUAGAGAAAAAUGUCAGUGAGAAUCAGAUGUUUUAGCAUAAAUUUGUCAUGGGCCAUUUUCUUUGUGUAUUAUUAACAUGAACAUGAUUUAAAUAAAGCCUGUCAGACCUGUAGAGUCUAAGUGAGGAUAACAAAGGAGACAACAAAACCUCAAAAGGUAAAAGAACUUUUCAGAAUAUGUUCUAUGACAGAAGUUUUCUUAAUCCUUCAUUGACAAAUCUCAUUUGUUUUAUACACUUCUGAAUCUCAAAUAUGCCCUAGAAUAAAUAUAACAAGUUUAACAAUAUCUGAACGUAAAGAAUUCAAUUUGUUCAUUGCUCUUUUGAGUACUUCUUUUUCUCCUGCUAUUUUGAGUACUAUGAAGAUCUUCAUUUGUGUCACAGUGAAACUGCAUAUAUUGGUGGUAGUGUCAGUGUUCCUACUACUAUUAAUAUUAUUCUUAUUACUAUUGUUAUUGCUAUUUAUAAAUCUACCCCCAACAAUCAUCUUUCUGUUAUCUUAAAGCUUAAUGAACCGCACAUCAAUUCAUCAAAAAUUUUCAGUUGUGUUUUUGUUUAAUUCUGCAGAAGUAAAAAGUCAGGGAGAGAUAUCUUUGCUAAGAGUGUCGGUGGUCAAGAAUCAAGGAAAGAUGCAAGUUUCAUUUUUCCAUCCAGCAGAAAUGAAUUAAGCUCCUAUUGCUUCUCUUCAAAGUAGUUACCAGUUCACAUAUCUAUUCUGACAUGGCAGCAACAGGUCUUGUACCCAUAAUAAAAAUAUAGCCUCUGCCUGAUAGAGACUUGUUUUCAGAACACUGUUUGGUUGAAGUUCUAUCACAAUUUCAUGUCAUUUGCUUCACCUUGUUCUGCUGCAGUUAUAUAAAAUAUUUGCAUAAAAAUACUGUAAUGUUAUGCUUGGGACAUAGUAGGUAACAAAUGCAUGCUCUGAUCCCUUUUGGUAUUUAUGUAAAUGGAGUAAAACAAGAAUAAAAGGUAAUCAUAAGAUUUAACCAUAAAAUUCUGCCAUUUCAAGUAGGAGGAGCUCUGCCAUAAAAAACUGGGAAUUGAAUUCAAGGCUCUCACAGCAUAAGAAAAUGGUUAGUUGUUGGAUUCUUAAGACCUCGCUGACAAUUGACUCUUGGAAGCAAAUAUGUCUGCAUGAAUUAAAUAUGUUUUGCUGUCAGUGGGCAUUAGAUAUGUUACCUGAUGUUUGAAACUAUGGAGGCACAAAUAGACAUCACAAGUCUGCAAACUGAAAAUUCAUCUGUAAAGUAGCUGUAUUUUCUGAUUACCUUAAUUCCUCUCAGCAGGUUUACAGGUGACAACAAGCUGAGUGGUGCACUUGAUACAACAGAAGGAAGAGACGCCAUCCAAAGGAAUUCGGACAGGCUUGAAAAGUGGGCCCAUGUGAACCUACUGAGGUUCAGCAAGAACAAGUGUUGCACUUGGGCUGGGGCAAUGCCAGAAGAUCUCUUUGCAAGCAGCCCUGUGAAGAAGGACGCAUAGGUCAUGCUGGAGAAAAAGCUGGACAUGAACCAGCAGUGUGCUCUUACAGCCCAAAAGGUCAACAGUAUCCUGGACUGCAUCAAAAGUGGGGGGGGAGUGCAGCAAGGCAGGGAGGGGAUUGUCCCCCUCUACUCUGCCCUUGUGAUGCCCCAUCUGGAGUACUGCAUUUAGGCCUGGAGCCUCCAGCACAAGAAGGACAUGGAGUGGGUCCAGAGGAGGGCCACAAAGAUAGUUAGAGCAUUGGAGCAUCUCUCCUACAAAUAAAGAUUGAGAGAGUUGGGCUUGCUCAGUCUAGAGAAGUGGAAGGUACAGAAAGACCUCGUUGUACUUAAAAAGGAGUUUAUAAACUGAAGUUUACAUGAUUUGAGUGAUAGGACAGGGCAAAUAGUUUUAAACUAUAAGAGUGAAGAUCUAUUUUCGAUAUCAGGAGGCAGUUUUUUACUCAGUGUGGUGAGGCCAUAGCACAAGUUACCCAGAGAACUGUGGGUGCUUCACACCUGCAGACGCUCAACACCAGGUUAGAUGAGCCCUGGAUACCCUGACCUAGUGGGUGACAUAGCCCAUGGCAGGGGGCAGGAACUAGAUGACUUUUAAAAGUUCCUGCCAACCUACAAUUCUAUGAUUCUAUGACAUCACUUUUGGUCAUAUUGCCCCCUACAUGCUGGAAUUGCCCUUCUCUGUCUUUAGGGUCUCCAGCAAGACUGACUUUAACAACAAAAAGGGUUAGCUUGAAGACAGCUGAUUCUUUCAGAAUGAGACAUACUGCCCCACAUCCUUCACUGUUGCUAAUUUCAUUUGCACAGUAAUUGCAAAGGCUGACAGUGUACCAAUUGAUAGCAAAACAUCCUAGAUAAAUAGUAGUGUCAGUAAGCUUCUACUGAUAAUUUAAGUUUGGGGUGUUUUUGUACUGUCCUCUAAAUGAGUUAGUGUGGCUUCCUUCACUGCUUCUGAUGAGCUAUCUGUAGGUCUCAGAAAUGUUAGAAAAAUUAGAAAAAAAGCUAUGAAUAAGCUGUGAAAACUACGGCUAAGGGCUGGCUAGGUACCAGCUAGUGGACAGAACCUGAGCUUCAUGAAGGACUGAGAGUCAAUAUUUUACAAAUUACAAUAUCUUAACAGUGACAAUUCUUAAUAAAAGUGGGCAAUAUCACCUACAUUUGAAACAUUCCCCAGCUGAAUCAACAAAGACCACUAAUAGAAAUAAGGAGGAAAAUAGCAUUACUCCUUUACUCAUCAAUGUCUUCUUCAUUCCCUAGCCCAUGUGAUCUUUUAUAUAUUAAAUUACUGCCUUGAAAGAAGAGAGAGUAAGUCAGCAUUAAUAAUGAUUAGACAUCACUGUGUAAAGGUUAGAAAAUCAGCCAGGCCAGGAGUACAAAUAAUUUUGUCUUUUUUUCCUGGAAGGGACCACUUACUCCAUCAGAAUAUCAUCCAAUUAAUACAAGGAUAAGGCAGACUCAUGCCAGUCAGGCUGGAAUAGUAACUAUGGAGGACAGAACACCUUGAGGUGUACUGGAUUUUUUUUUUUUUUUUUUAACUUAGUGAAUAAACAAAGGAAAAGUUUUAGAGAUUUCUGUUUUAAUAAAUUGUAUGUCCAUCAGCCUGCCAUCAGUCCUAUCAGAAAAUUGGUAUGGUGUUAGCAAAAAAAGUAGAAGUAUUUGAAUAGGGAGAGGAGAGGGCAAUACACGAGUUUUUAUUACAGUUAAUUUAACUCCAAUUAUUUUGGUGAACAGAGUUUGCUGUGUUCCAGCUAAAAGUGGGAUUCUCUCUGGUGCAAAGCAACUAAGUCCAUCCUGAGGUGUCAUCCAUGGAACAAACUACCAUGGGAUGCUGAAUCAAAUUUCAUUGCAAAGGCCAAGAAGAAUUUGAAAGGAAAGAACUUUUUCCUGUUUUUUAAUGAGCUACUUGCUAAUUUUUGCACUGUGCAGAGUCCAAACAUCUCCGUGAACACCAACCCCAAACAAAAAUGUGCUACAGGUGAGAAAUGAUCCACAGAUUGAGUGAAUUCACAGUUGGCCAAAACUGACAGGCUGUGCCUGCCAGCAAUGCUUUUAGGAAAGUUUUUGUAAAAAUCAUCAGAAAAAAAGGUCACUUGUACUCAUAAAAAUCAUCACAACUGCUGAAUUCAUGUCAAUUUGAGAUCCUCUGUGCUGAAGAGAACCACAUUAAUGAACAGAAGCACUUGCAAAGUAAGAUGCAGAUAUUAGUUGGGAUAAAAUUAAUGAUGUUAAUGCAAAAGUAUUUUUUCCUGGAAACAACUGAAGUCAAACAAAUGGUGUCAAAGGAUGUUUAAGACAACGAGAUCAAGUCCAAUGCCCUUGCAAAGCAGGCCCCCUACAGCAGGCUGCACAGGUAGAUGUCCAGGCAGGUCUUGAAUAUCUCCAGAUAAGGAGAAUCCACAACCUCCCUUGGCAGCCUGUUCCAGUGCUGUCACCCUCACCAUGAAGAAGUUACUCCAAAUAUUAGUGCAGAACUUCCUACACACCAGUUUGGGGUUGUUUCCCCUCGUCUUGUCCCCGCAGACCACUGCAAAGAUGUUGGUCAUGUCCCUUUCUCUCCCAAGAUGAUGCCUUCUAGGAUAGAGCAUCUAGUUUGCUGGUGUCACAAGGAACUACGUGAAAAGGAACUCUUAAUCAGUUUCUGAUGUUCUGCCUUCAAUUGAGGAAUAUAUUUCUGAGAUCGUUAUUCCUACUAACAGGUUUUAUAUGUCUCAUUUCAUUUGACAUUUAGAAACUUUCUUCUGUUCUCCAGUUUUAAAGCAAGUCCCAAGUGAGUUUGCAUCCAUUUCAAUGUUAUCCAUUGAUUUAAGUAAGUAGCAUUUUGCUUUAUUUUAUAACCUGGUAUUUAUUCAUAUCGAACAGAUAAUAUCUAUGCCAUUUGACUGCCGGUGCAUUUACAUCUCUUCCUGGCCAGAAUUCAGGAUAGAAAAGAUAGGUAUAUAUACUUAAACUGAGCUCACGUUUAUUAUAUCAUAUUUAUUUACCAAAUAAAGAUCUUGCCUUUCUAAUAGCAAAUGUUAUCAGAAUUACUACUGACUUUAGUGUCUACCAUAUUUGUUGAAUUAAGGUCAUUUUUGUGUAUUAUUUCAGUGGCAGAGGGGAAAUAGAUUUGCAAACAAUCUGGUCUUCUUAACAACAAACAAAAAUGCUACAUACAAAUUAAAAUACAUUUUACGAGUUUAAUGCUUCAAUUACUUCAGGUGCUUUUUUCUAUAUGUGAAUACAACUCUUAAUCAGCCACUCAUUCAUCUUAACUAUCUCUGUAUGUCAUCUCCAUGAAUCUUAAACAGAUGAAUAAACAAGC
ensembl:lncRNA